rnacentral:rRNA from 1 species
UGAACGCUGGCGGUAGGCCUAGCACAUGCACGUCGAACGGCAGCACAGUAAGAGCUUGCUCUUACGGGUGGCGAGUGGCGGACGGGUGAGGAAUACAUCGGAAUCUACUUUUUCGUGGGGGAUAACGUAGGGAAACUUACGCUAAUACCGCAUACGACCUACGGGUGAAAGCAGGGGAUCUUCGGACCUUGCGCGAUUGAAUGAGCCGAUGUCGGAUUAGCUAGUUGGCGGGGUAAAGGCCCACCAAGGCGACGAUCCGUAGCUGGUCUGAGAGGAUGAUCAGCCACACUGGAACUGAGACACGGUCCAGACUCCUACGGGAGGCAGCAGUGGGGAAUAUUGGACAAUGGGCGCAAGCCUGAUCCAGCCAUACCGCGUGGGUGAAGAAGGCCUUCGGGUUGUAAAGCCCUUUUGUUGGGAGAGAAAAGCAGCAGGUUAAUACCCCGCUGUUCUGACGGUACCCAAAGAAUAAGCACCGGCUAACUUCGUG